CAAUAGCAUAUAUUAAAGUUGUUGCAGUUAAAAAGCUCGUAGUCGAAGGUGGGGCGGGUGUUGCGUGGGGGGCGUGCAAACGCCUCUCUCCAGCACAGCCCAUGCGUCGUAUCGGGCGGUCGUGCCGCAUUGAUUUGUGGGCGGUCGUCUGGACGCGUUUUACUGUGAGUAAAUUAGAGUGUUCCAGGCAGGCGGGCACGCCGAUGGAUAGUUUAGCAUGGAAUAAUAGUGGAGGACGGGCGCGAGCUGACGUUGGUUCCGCCGCGAGCGUAAUGAUUAACAGGGACAGUUGGGGGCAGUCAUAUUUGGUCGUCAGAGGUGAAAUUCUUGGAUUGGCCAACGAUGAACUUGUGCGAAAGCGUCUGCCAAGGAUGUUUNCAUUG
rnacentral:rRNA from 1 species